GACGAACCGUGCGAACGUUAUUCGGAAUCAUUGGGCUUAAAGCGCGUGUAGGCGGAUGGGAACGUCGAUGUUGAAAGCCCCCGGCUCAACCGGGGAACUGGCGUCGAAACGACCCGUCUGGAGGGGCAUAGGGGGAGCUGGAACUUCCGGUGGAGCGGUGAAAUGCGUUGAUAUCGGAAGGAACGCCGGUGGCGAAAGCGAGCUGCUGGACCUCUGCUGACGCUGAGGCGCGAAAGCCAGGGGAGCAAACGGG
rnacentral:rRNA from 1 species